rnacentral:rRNA from 1 species
CAGGGGUGAAAUCCCACAGCUCAACUGUGGAACUGCCUUUGAUACUGUCAGUCUAGAGUAUAGUUGAAGUUGGCGGAAUGUGUCAUGUAGCGGUGAAAUGCUUAGAUAUGACACAGAACACCGAUCGCGAACAGCAGCUAGCUAAGCUAUAACUGACGCUCAUGCACGAAAGCGUGGGGAUCAAACAGGAUUAGAUACCCUGGUAGUCCACGCUGUAAACGAUGAUUACUCGAUGUUGGCGAUACACAGUCAGCGUCUGAGCGAAAGCAAUAAGUAAUCCACCUGGGGAGUACGAUCGCAAGAUUGAAACUCAAAGGAAUUGACGGGGGCCCGCACAAGCGGAGGAGCAUGUGGUUUAAUUCGAUGAUACGCGAGGAACCUUACCUGGGCUCGAACGUAAGAUGACUGUAGGUGAAAGCUUACAUCUCUUCGGAGCAUUUUACGAGGUGCUGCAUGGUUGUCGUCAGCUCGUGCCGUGAGGUGUCGGGUUAAGUCCCAUAACGAGCGCAACCCCUACCUUUAGUUGCCAUCAGGUCAUGCUGGGGACUCUAAAGGAACUGCCUACGCAAGUAGUGAGGAAGGCGGGGAUGACGUCAAAUCAGCACGGCCCUUACGUCCAGGGCUACACACGUGCUACAAUGGCCGAUACAGAGGGCAGCUACCUGGUGACAGGAUGCAAAUCUCCAAAGUCGGUCUCAGUUCGGAUCGGAGUCUGCAACCCGACUCCGUGAAGUUGGAUUCGCUAGUAAUCGCGCAUCAGCCAUGGCGCGGUGAAUACGUUCCCGGGCCUUGUACACACCGCCCGUCAAGCCAUGGAAGCUGGGGGGACCUAAAGUCGAUAACCGCAAGGAGUCGCCUAGGGUAAAACCAGUGACUGGGGCUAAGUCGUAACAAGGUAGCCG